AUCAUACUUUAUCUUGGUAAUUGGUUGUCUGGAUUUAUGAAGCGAAGGCGGACUGUUAAUCAAAGACGUGAUCUUCCUUGGUCUUCUAGGCAAUGGGACAAAAUCAUCUGAAAAGUGGAG